GACGAACGCUGGCGGCGUGCUUAACACAUGCAGGUCGAACGGAAAGGCCCUGCUUUUGUGGGGUGCUCGAGUGGCGAACGGGUGAGUAACACGUGAGUAACCUGCCCUUGACUUUGGGAUAACUUCAGGAAACUGGGGCUAAUACCGGAUAGGAGCUCCUGAUGCAUGGUGGGGGUUGGAAAGUUUCGGCGGUUGGGGAUGGACUCGCGGCUUAUCAGCUUGUUGGUGGGGUAGUGGCUUACCAAGGCUUUGACGGGUAGCCGGCCUGAGAGGGUGACCGGCCACAUUGGGACUGAGAUACGGCCCAGACUCCUACGGGAGGCAGCAGUGGGGAAUAUUGCACAAUGGGCGGAAGCCUGAUGCAGCAACGCCGCGUGCGGGAUGACGGCCUUCGGGUUGUAAACCGCUUUCGCCUGUGACGAAGCGUGAGUGACGGUAAUGGGUAAAGAAGCACCGGCUAACUACGUG
rnacentral:rRNA from 1 species